rnacentral:rRNA from 1 species
CCUACGGGAGGCAGCAGUGAGGAAUAUUGGUCAAUGGCCGUAACGCUGAUCCAGCCACGUCGCGUGUAGGAAGACGGUUCUCUGGUUUGUAAACUUCUUUCACAGGGGACUAAAAGUAUCCUAGUUUGGAUAUUUGCAUCUACCCUAUGCAUAAGCAUCGGCUCAAUCCGUGCCAGCGGCCGCGGUAAUACCGAGGAUGCGAGCGUUAUCCGGAAUUAUUGGGUUGAAAGGGUGCGUAGGUUGUGUAUUAAGUCAGAGUUGAAAGUUUGUGGCUUAACCAGAAAGUUGCCGUUGAAACUGGAAGACUUGAGUGUGUUAGAGGUAGGCGGAAUGCGUGGUGUAGCGGUGAAAUGCAUAGAUAUUACGCAGAACUCCAGUGGCGAAGGCAGCUUGCUAAGCCAUAACUGACACUGAGGCACGAAAGCGUGGGGAGCAAACAGGAUUAGAUACCCGGGUAGUC